rnacentral:rRNA from 1 species
GAUGAACGCUGGCGGCGUGCCUAAUACAUGCAAGUCGAGCGAACGGACGAGAAGCUUGCUUCUCUGAUGUUAGCGGCGGACGGGUGAGUAACACGUGGAUAACCUACCUAUAAGACUGGGAUAACUUCGGGAAACCGGAGCUAAUACCGGAUAAUAUUUUGAACCGCAUGGUUCAAAAGUGAAAGACGGUCUUGCUGUCACUUAUAGAUGGAUCCGCGCUGCAUUAGCUAGUUGGUAAGGUAACGGCUUACCAAGGCAACGAUGCAUAGCCGACCUGAGAGGGUGAUCGGCCACACUGGAACUGAGACACGGUCCAGACUCCUACGGGAGGCAGCAGUAGGGAAUCUUCCGCAAUGGGCGAAAGCCUGACGGAGCAACGCCGCGUGAGUGAUGAAGGUCUUCGGAUCGUAAAACUCUGUUAUUAGGGAAGAACAUAUGUGUAAGUAACUGUGCACAUCUUGACGGUACCUAAUCAGAAAGCCACGGCUAACUACGUGCCAGCAGCCGCGGUAAUACGUAGGUGGCAAGCGUUAUCCGGAAUUAUUGGGCGUAAAGCGCGCGUAGGCGGUUUUUUAAGUCUGAUGUGAAAGCCCACGGCUCAACCGUGGAGGGUCAUUGGAAACUGGAAAACUUGAGUGCAGAAGAGGAAAGUGGAAUUCCAUGUGUAGCGGUGAAAUGCGCAGAGAUAUGGAGGAACACCAGUGGCGAAGGCGACUUUCUGGUCUGUAACUGACGCUGAUGUGCGAAAGCGUGGGGAUCAAACAGGAUUAGAUACCCUGGUAGUCCACGCCGUAAACGAUGAGUGCUAAGUGUUAGGGGGUUUCCGCCCCUUAGUGCUGCAGCUAACGCAUUAAGCACUCCGCCUGGGGAGUACGACCGCAAGGUUGAAACUCAAAGGAAUUGACGGGGACCCGCACAAGCGGUGGAGCAUGUGGUUUAAUUCGAAGCAACGCGAAGAACCUUACCAAAUCUUGACAUCCUUUGACAACUCUAGAGAUAGAGCCUUCCCCUUCGGGGGACAAAGUGACAGGUGGUGCAUGGUUGUCGUCAGCUCGUGUCGUGAGAUGUUGGGUCAAGUCCCGCAACGAGCGCAACCCUUAAGCUUAGUUGCCAUCAUUAAGUUGGGCACUCUAAGUUGACUGCCGGUGACAAACCGGAGGAAGGUGGGGAUGACGUCAAAUCAUCAUGCCCCUUAUGAUUUGGGCUACACACGUGCUACAAUGGACAAUACAAAGGGCAGCGAAACCGCGAGGUCAAGCAAAUCCCAUAAAGUUGUUCUCAGUUCGGAUUGUAGUCUGCAACUCGACUACAUGAAGCUGGAAUCGCUAGUAAUCGUAGAUCAGCAUGCUACGGUGAAUACGUUCCCGGGUCU